rnacentral:misc_RNA from 1 species
UUUCCGUAGGUGAACCUGCGGAAGGAUCAUUAUUAUAUAACCGACUUUCGACGUCUGUAGCUGAUACGAUAGGGCGUGCACGCACAAGUGCCCACACUCACAUCCUUCUCACCCCUAUGUGCACCACCGCGGGGGUACCCCUUUGGUUUGCUCGGAGGGGGGCUCACGUUUUCACACAAACUUUGCAUACAGUGUAUAAUGUAAUUUUUGUUUUUGCGUUUACGCAAUCUAUAAAACUAUCUACAACGAAUCUCUUUGCUCUCUCAUCGAUGAAGAAAG